CCUACGAGAGGCAGCAGUGAGGAAUAUUGGUCAAUGGGCGCGAGCCUGAACCAUCCAAGUAGCGUGAAGGAUGACUGCCCUACGGGUUGUAAACUUCUUUUAUAAAGGAAUAAUGUGAGUCACGUGUGCCGUUUUGUAUGUACUUUAUGAAUAAGGAUCGGCUAACUCCGUGCCAGCAGCCGCGGUAAUACGGAGGAUUCGAGCGUUAUCCGGAUUUCUUGGGUUUAAAGGGAGCGUAGAUGGGUGGUUAAGUCAGUUGUGAAAGUUUGCGGCUCAACCGUAAAAUUGCAAUUGAUACUGGCAGUCUUGAGUACAGUUGAGGUAGGCGGAAUUCGUGGUGGAGCGGUGAAAUGCUUAGAUAUCACGAAGAACUCCGAUUGCGAAGGCAGCUUACUAAACUGCCACUGACAUUGAUGCUCGAAAGUGUGGGUAUCAAACAGGAUUAGAUACCCGUGUAGUC
rnacentral:rRNA from 1 species